GACAGGGGUGCCGAGCGUUAGGCGGAAUCACUGGGCUUAAAGCGUGUGUAGGCGGCCCGUUAAGUGUCCGAGUGAAAUCCCCCGGCUCAACCGGGGAACCGCCGGGCAUACUGGCGGGCUUGGGCCGCUCAGGGGCAGACGGAACAGGCGGUGGAGCGGUGAAAUGCGUAGAUAUCGGGAGGAACACCGGUGGCGAAGGCGGUUCUCUGGGCCUUACCUGACGCUGAGGAGCGAAAGCGUGGGGAGCGAACAGG
rnacentral:rRNA from 1 species